AGCGAACGUUUGCGGCGGGCUUAACACAUGCAAGUCGAACGGCAGCGGGCCUUCGGGUGCCGGCGAGUGGCGAACGGGUGAGUAAUGCAUCGGAACGUGCCAUUGAGUGGGGGAUAACGUAGCGAAAGUUGCGCUAAUACCGCAUAUUCUGUGAGCAGGAAAGCAGGGGACCGCAAGGCCUUGCGCUCUUUGAGCGGCCGAUGUCAGAUUAGCUAGUUGGUGAGGUAAAGGCUUACCAAGGCGACGAUCUGUAGCGGGUCUGAGAGGAUGAUCCGCCACACUGGAACUGAGACACGGUCCAGACUCCUACGGGAGGCAGCAGUGGGGAAUUUUGGACAAUGGGGGCAACCCUGAUCCAGCCAUGCCGCGUGAGUGAAGAAGGCC
rnacentral:rRNA from 1 species